GAUGCCAACCGCCGUUAAACCUCAUCGAAGAAGAAGACGUAGCCUCAUAACCAGCGAGCUAACCACGUUUUUAGCUGGCAACAAUGCUGUCACUGAACAAUUUGCGGAUUAUUUGCACAUCACAGGCUCUUCAGCAUUCACCCAAAUUAUUGGCGAACAGACAAUGCGUAUCUAAGGCUUCGCUAUGCAACAACUCCCACCUUCACUAGCAGUAAGGGCACGAGGCACAACAACAACAAGAUGAAACAUGUCAAUUCACUGCAAAGGACUUUCUGCACAGCUUCUGUGAAGCAGAACUGUUGGAACUGUGGACAGUCUGUUGAACAAACUCCAGCCUUCUAAUGUUUAUAUUGUAACUUUGUCCAGCCUCCAAAUGAGGGAGCAUCCUUCUUCCAGAUGAUGGAUUGCUGGAGCUAAAGGGCAUGUACAUAGAGGAGGGGAUGGAUACUGGGGCCAAUCCUAUGUUUCUUAUGGAGAUCAACGAAGCACUGGAUGAGGAACAGAGCAAAGAAGAAUUGGACAAGAUAGGUGCCUCUAUGAAAGAGAAAUUGAAAGACUUGACUGAACAAAUAGAUGCAUCGCUGCACAAAGGGAUGUUGCCCUCAGAUACUAAAGUGUUAUGUUUCUCUCCCUUCUACUCACUGUUCAGUCUUCUGGUAUUUAUUCAGAUGCUUUCAGAUGUGCUUGUGAGUCACAUGGUUGAACUUUCUUUUGCUUUUGCUCCAUAUACAGUAAUUUUCCUUUUCAACAGGAGAGUUUCAAGCUGCCAAAGCACUUUUCGCCCAAAUGAAAUACUUUGCGAACAUUGAAGACAAGGUGAAGGAAAGACUUUCUGUGCUAAUGUAAACUUUGACUUUCUUUUGAUGCUUCCUGGGUAUUUUUAAAGUUGUUUAGAAUGUAUUCAAUAAUAAUAAUAAUACAAUUUGUAUUUAUUCAUUAUGUACAGUAUUUGUUAAA